CGCAGUUUGAGGACCCCUGCCUUAGAGUGAGCGCAGAGUGGGCAAAACUCCUCGGACACUUGUGGUCAAACCUGCACUUCGUUUCAGCUAAAGCCUCCUUUGGUCUUGCCAUUUCAGCCCUCUCCUUCUAAGCAUGUGAGGUCUGACUUCUUUUGUCUUCUGUUCCUCAGCCCUGCAGAGAGAGCUUUGGCCCUGGGCACAACCCUUUCUUCAGAUGGCGAACUCAUUUUCUGUCUAGCAGACCAGAGGGACAAGGUGUAAUUCAACCCCUCCCUGCAUCAGACACUGCUGCCAGGGGGAAACAAUGAAGAAAGUGAUCUUUGUUGUUCCCUGAAUAGGGCCAUGAACCUGGCACCUGCUUUUGUUGCUGGCUUCAGUCAGAAGCCCUAAGGACCACACCUCAUACACUGUAGUCUGGACUUCCUGAUCUGCCUGCAUUCAGUCAAGUUUCACUCAGCUCUUAGGUGUCUGUGCCUUGGUGAAAGCUGUUGGAGACAGCAUGGCUUUCCCCUGCUUUGUCAGCAGCUGGCCAGAGUGCCUAUUGGACUGCCAGAUCUCAAGCCUUUCACAUUUGUCUGUCUCUCUCUGGAAUUUAGGGCAGAAUGUCUCUUACCACCUGAGGGUACAUUCACUGGAACCUAUUGGAGAAUAAAAGAUGAACAGCCCGGAAAAGUGUAUGGACGUAGUAUACUACUGUGCUUUGGAAUGCUCUGAUUCCCAGGAAAAGGUGCAUUGUCUGCGAGAAUACAGCUGGAGUCCAGGCCGCUGCACCCCGCCCCCUUCCCGAGAACCUCCCGUCGGAACCAUCACUCACUUCAUAAUUCCAAACAUCCUUGUUUUUGUUAUAUUUUUAUCUGAUAUGGUGAAACACACAGAGGAAAUGACAAGCUAACAUAUGUUGUCUUUUAAAUGCACUUAGUUCAAGUGGCUAUUUUAAAUGUCAGUUGUUCCUGCCAUUAGAUUCCUGUUGUCUGGGCUGUUUCUUUCUUCCUGGGUUGGGAGGAGUUUCUGAUAGAAUUUUACAGUGGCAUUAAAUCCAGAUCUUUCCUGGCUGAUUGAUAAUUCCUUUAAA